rnacentral:ncRNA from 1 species
UCACCGGAUGCUUACGAGCAGAAAGUGAUUAAAUCACGUUAUCUAGAGGAAGGAGAAGUCGUAACAAGGUAACGGUAGGUGAACCUGCCGUUGGAUCAGUU